rnacentral:rRNA from 1 species
GCAAAGUUGUGUAGUGCGAUCGGUGGAUGCCUUGGCACCAAGAGCCGAUGAAGGACGUUGUGACCUGCGAUAAGCCCUGGGGAGUUGGUGAGCGAGCUGUGAUCCGGGGGUGUCCGAAUGGGGAAACCUGGAAUGUCCGGAGUAGUGUCCGGUGGCCCUGCCCUGAAUGUAUAGGGGUGUGGGUUGUAACGCGGGGAAGUAAAACAUCUUAGUACCCGUAGGAAGAGAAAACAAGUGUGAUUCCGUGGGAUAUGGCGAGCGAAAGCGGAGGUGGCUAAACCGUGUGUAUGUUCAAGCCGGCAGGAGUUGCAUGUACGGGGUUGUGGGGACCUUGUAGUUCUGCUGCCGCAGGAU